rnacentral:rRNA from 1 species
UACAGAGGGUGCAAGCGUUAUCCGGAUUCACUGGGUUUAAAGGGUGCGUAGGUGGGUUGGUAAGUCCGUGGUGAAAUCUCCGAGCUUAACUCGGAAACUGCCGUGGAUACUAUCAAUCUUGAAUACUGUGGAGGUAAGCGGAAUAUGUCAUGUAGCGGUGAAAUGCUUAGAUAUGACAUAGAACACCGAUAGCGAAGGCAGCUUGCUACACAGUUAUUGACACUGAGGCACGAAAGCGUGGGGAGCAAACAGG